AUUGAACGCUGGCGGCAUGCCUUACACAUGCAAGUCGAACGGUAACAGGUCUUCGGAGGCUGACGAGUGGCGAACGGGUGAGUAAUACAUCGGAACGUGCCUAGUAGUGGGGGAUAACUACUCGAAAGAGAGGCUAAUACCGCAUGAGAUCUACGGAUGAAAGCAGGGGAUCGCAAGACCUUGUGCUACUAGAGCGGCCGAGGGCAGAUUAGGUAGUUGGUGGGAUAAAAGCUUACAAAGCCGACGAUCUGUAGCUGGACUGAGAGGACGAUCAGACACACUGGGACUGAGACACCGCCCAGACUCCUACGGGAGGCAGCAGUGGGGAAUUUUGGACAAUGGGCGAAAGCCUGAUCCAGCAAUGCCGCGUGCAGGAUGAAGGCCUUCGGGUUGUAAACUGCUUUUGUACGGAACGAAAAGCCCCGGGUUAAUACCCUGGGGUCAUGACGGUACCGUAAGAAUAAGCACCGGCUAACUACGUGCCAGCCGCCGCGGUAA
rnacentral:rRNA from 1 species